CCCCAGACUCCUACGGGAGGCAGCAGUGGGGAAUAUUGCACAAUGGGGGAAACCCUGAUGCAGCGACGCCGCGUGAGCGAUGAAGUAUUUCGGUAUGUAAAGCUCUAUCAGCAGGGAAGAAGAUGACGGUACCUGACUAAGAAGCCCCGGCUAACUACGUGCCAGCAGCCGCGGUAAUACGUAGGGGGCAAGCGUUAUCCGGAUUUACUGGGUGUAAAGGGAGCGUAGACGGCGAUGCAAGCCAGAUGUGAAAGCCCGGGGCUCAACCCCGGGACUGCAUUUGGAACUGUGUGGCUGGAGUGUCGGAGAGGCAGGCGGAAUUCCUAGUGUAGCGGUGAAAUGCGUAGAUAUUAGGAGGAACACCAGUGGCGAAGGCGGCCUGCUGGACGAUGACUGACGUUGAGGCUCGAAAGCGUGGGGAGCAAACAGGAUUAGAUACCCGGGUAU
rnacentral:rRNA from 1 species